CCACCGAGCCCUUGCGCGCUAUCUGACUUUUGAAUUUUUUUCUAAUAAAAAAAACGAGUUUUCUGGAUCGGCGGCAGGGGUUGCUCAAGAAGGGGUUUAGCUUGGGAGCUCUAGGGAGGAGGAGGUGGCGGCGGCGGCGGCGACUGUGAGGGAGACGGGAGCUGGCGCGGGAGGUGGUGGCUGGGGAGACGGGAGCUUGCGCGGGAGGUGGUAGCUGAGGGAGGCGACUGGACACGCUGGGGGUGGGUAUAGCUACUGCGGCGACGCAUCUCCAGUUGGAGCGGAGGGAGGUGUGCGGAGACCAAAGCGAGGGAAGCCGUGGCGGUGUUCCCGACCAGUUGCCCAGGCCACGCAGCUCCAGCUGCAGCGGAACGAGGGGUGGUGCAGAGGGUGGUGGGACUGCUGCUCGCGCCACAGACGAGGGGUUAUGCGAUCAUGUUGUACCACGAGUCUAGACAGUACCUCCUUUGCGCUACGUCCACGAUGGUCACUUUCCUAACCCCUAACCAAGAUCGUCAACAUCCAAACAAACCUUAAGUAUUACGAGUACUAAACGUUUCCGAUAGUCGGUCCAAUAACAUGUGCAUGAGAACAUAAAGUAAAAGAAUAGAAUUAUUCAAUUAUACGUACAUAUACACGGAUACUAAACAUUUUACAUUACAAGAAGAUAGGUAGGUUAAAAUCGCUACACCUGCCCAGAAACAAAUAAGUCCAAGUCUGUAACGUGUUGACUUCCGUUCACAAAGUGUCGAACUCUUUCAAAUGAGUGAUUACCGACUGACAUAUGUUGAGAUCUUUCAAAGAACACGAUCGUAGAUGUUCUUGAUUUAAUAUCUGUACUCACGACUAAACUAUAACUUUUAACGAGAUGUUUUAAUUGAUGAAAAUGAAGGGACUAAAUAGUAGAUAGCUUAACAAAGUAUCGUCAAGUCACCACGGGAUAGACUUAAGAGUUGGACGUACUUUGUAACGUGACCCGUCUUUUAUUAACAUCUUUCCUUACAGCAUUCACCGACCGUGACGGUAGUCCGAUAGUGUGUGACGUGAAUUAACCCGAACAACCUGGUACGUCCCGUAGACGUGGUCUAUUAUCUUCGGGACGUUCCCACCAAACGAACACUCCUCCCCAACUAAAAAACUCAACGUCGGACUUACUAUACAUAGAAUACUAUGUCUCCUUUCUUUUUGUUAUACAAAGAAUGGAACAACCAACCAACAGAUGUGCGUGUAAAGGAUACUUGGUACGGAAUUAUUAGCUUGGCGGUGACAUUAGAGUGUAGCACUAGUCAGGAGUGAACUACUUCAUCGUAUGGUUGUUCAAUCAAUUAAAAGACUUCAAGGACCUUAUUAAAAAACUGCGACGGACGAAGCCAUGUGAAAUAAGAAUUGGUAACCAACUAGAUUCGAGAAAAAAAUGUUCUUGUGCAGCUACGUAUCGUAAUUUGCGAACGGCUUUUCUCAGGUGUCGAGGAACGUGAGUUCGUAAUAUAACAGACUGGAGGAUUCCCAGCAACUCCUCAACCGUAUAUUAUCGUCGCUGUGUUUACUAAUUUUCUAGCUACAAAGUCAUUUACAGUCUCCUACAAUGUAAUUUCACCUUCUACUACGAUAACGUCCAACCCCAUAACGAACUCUACUUAACAAAGAUGACCCUCUUUUUAUACCGUUCAGUAUAGAAACCCACGAAAAGACUUAAGUACCUAUAGUCUUACUCUAACAAGAGUAUAUCUUUCCUGACGGACUAAACGAAGUAUUUUCAUUAUUACCUUGACUGUAGGUAAGAUACUAUCAACUGGAGCUAUUAACUAUAAAUUUCCUCUAUAAUACGAAUAAGAUGGACCUUAAGACUAAAGAAGACGAUCACAAAGAAAUAGAACCCGUAGCUCCCAGACCUCACACAAGUACGACGUGUAGCCGCGUAGCACACUAAUAGUACGCAAGAAGUCACCCCAGCCUGGAGUUGUCCUCAUACGUUGAUACUCGGCACUACUCACGGGCGGAUGAUGCGGGUGCCGUACGGCAUAACUCGCUCGGCAAUGAAGGAAGAAAAGAAAAGGAAAAACUAGCUUCAAGUGGCGGAUGUUGCGGGUGCUAUACCGUACAACUGGUACGGGAACGGCGACAAAAAAGGGAAACACUUACUUGUAUCAACGGUGACGAAAAAAGAUACCCUGCGACGAGAAAAUAAAGGACCUAUUGGUGCCUGCGGCGACAAAACAACAGUGCGUUCGUCUCAAUUUUUACUAGAGAAAAAUAGAUGGCUUGAUUAGUUCUCAAGUUCAGGUCCUGUAGUAUGUAGUUUUAACCACACCCAGGCGGAAAGAUUACCAGCAUUAAAUGAGUAAUUACCUCCCAGGUGGUUUGAUUGCCAGGCUACACAGAUUAAUUACACUCUUAAAGAUCAUUUAGGAGAUAAGAACUAGGGAUAAAAGGAAAAUCAUAUAUUAUCUAUCUAUGGUAACGUAUAAUCGCACCCACUCCACACCCGCCGACAAAUAGAACCAUCAAUUCAGAACCUAAAUCAUAAAACGAAAGCCUAUGUACGAACAACGAUAAAGUCUUGUAACUUUGAAAUAAAUCUUUAAACAAAGGAUACACGAAGUACGUUUACUUUGACGUCAUUUCUAUGUUUGAUACGAACAGGACUUACACGUAUUGGAAAAAUACGUAUGUUAAUCACCUUGGAAAAUGUACAGGUCACACGCGUACACAGGUCCUUGAUUCGAAAACGUACAGGACACAUAAGAUUUCGAAUCAGAAAACAAUAACCCGUUCAUGAACUUUGUCACAGAACCAAACGGUCAGCAUCUUAGUAAAUACUUAUCGUAUCCACAACGGAAGUGAACAUAAGGAUGCGUAUCAGGUUAUGAAGAAAAAGGAACUAGAUUACGAGGAAAAAGCAAUUCUGUUCGUUUUACCUUAGUGUAGGACCUAAUAGAGAUACCAGGACGUAGUAGAAAGUAUCUGAUUAAUUCAAUAUUGGCCUAACGUAACAAAUCCUCUUUACAUGGAAAGGUACACAUUUCACCAAUCUGGACCGUAAUGACAAGUUAUAAAACAUGAGUUGUCCUUAGAACGAUAUCUAUGUGUGACCUUCAGAUUUUAGUUAUGAUCAUCUUUGUCCACAAGACAGUUGCUGCGUAGAUAAAACAACGUACAGAGCCCGGUGAGUUAAACACUAAUUUAUCCACAAGACGUAUAUACAAAAGGUUGACUAACUGGUACAUUCUGACCUUUGUCGUGGUAGAAACACUGUAGAUUGAACAAGAUAAAAAAAACGUCUUUCACGAUCAUGUAACCUAUUCUUGUAACUGUGUACACUGACCCUCGGGUUUUCUGAUCAUUAUUACAACAUUUGGUGAAGUUGUAUUGUGGUUUGUAAAACCAAAGAUAUGUUGACAGUACAAACACGAUCUUUUUACAAACUCAAAACGACAAAAGGUAUCCUACUUUGAUAAAGUAUAGAACUUGAUCUAAGAAACACACAAAUAUGGUUUUAUGUUCUAGGAUACUACAGUUUUUAAGUAUGUUCAACACCUACAGUGAAGGAAAUUAGUGAAGGAUAAAAUAGAAUACACGUCAAAAAACCUGCCACAAGAUACCUUAGAAGUGUAUGUCCUUUGAUUUUAAAUAUAGUAUCCAACCUUUACAAGGACUUCUGCCCAAUUCUAUGGAACGGCAUUGGUAUACGAGACUCGAGUGGAUCUUCUGGAAUGUUCGAAAUGAGAAACACGUAAAAGGUAAGACAUGUUGAACCUGCAGAACUUUGACGUGUAUGAUUUAAUACUACAUUAAGAAGUGUACAUUAGUCACUUAACGUAUAUAACAUUGGAACAUUUACAAACUACUUGUCUUAAAUAUUAUACUUACACUUCAUGAACACGU
rnacentral:rRNA from 1 species